rnacentral:lncRNA from 13 species
AACAAGACAAGCACAACAGUGGUAGAAUCAGAACUGGCUUCAGCAUGCAGUAACCCAGCACUACACACCACCAUUCCUGCCCUGAGACAUUUCUGACACACAGAGCAUGAAGUCGUGAACUAAAUGAACUCAAUGGAGUUUUGUAAGGAUGGUCCAUAAACUAAGGGAAUGAUACCUGUGUGUAUAUGAAUUGAAGGACAGAAAAGGUUUUACGUUUUUCUGAUUCUGUUCCACAUCCCAAGGAAGGGUGGAGAGCGGUGUGGGGAGCAAGCAAGCACCUGCGUGGUACUGAGCUGCUAGCUGAGUCUAAACCACAAUGGUGUGUCCCCUCUCAGGAUGCUAGUGAUGUAACGCAAUUUUGUCAAAGGUGAGAGCUAACACAGUGGUAACUGUUACUCAGACGGGACAAGGACAUUCCUCCAUGAAAAAAUACAAACAAACAAAAAAACCCAUGAUGAAGACUAUUAAUAAAAUGCAACACUCUCUACAAAGGCC